AUUUGUGUGUGUUUUCUUACUGUUUAGCACAAACGUUUCCUGCGCAAGCUUGAAUUUCUCUCACACAAACAUUUCCCGCGCAAGUUUGAAUUUCUCUAGGACUGAUGGAUGGCCAUUCACUCAUAAAACCUUUUAAAGGUUAGCAGGAAUGCGUCCAGCAUAAUUUUAGAUCUUUACCAUUGAGGAGACUGGCUUACUGACUGUUCUCAACCAACCAUCAUUCACUAACAAAAACUUGAAAGGUACCACAUUUAUUUAUUAUGUUGUUA